rnacentral:rRNA from 1 species
GGGAUGGCUCUAGUAACGGCGAGUGAAGCAGCCAAAGCUCAAAUUUGAAAGCUCCUAACAAGGCGCAUUGUAAUUUGAAGAUGGUAUUCCGAGUUAGUCCUUUACCUCAGUUCCUUGGAACAGGACGCCAUAGAGGGUGAGAGCCCCGUGUGGUAUUGGUAACUUUCUCAUGUGGUUUACCUUCGAAGAGUCGAGUUGUUUGGGAAUGCAGCUCUAAGUGGGUGGUAAAUUCCAUCUAAAGCUAAAUAUUG